ACAAUGGAGAGUUUGAUCCUGGCUCAGGAUGAACGCUAGCUACAGGCUUAACACAUGCAAGUCGAGGGGAAACGGCAUUGAGUGCUUGCACUCUUUGGACGUCGACCGGCGCACGGGUGAGUAACGCGUAUCCAACCUUCCCAUUACUGUGGGAUAACCUGCCGAAAGGCAGACUAAUACCGCAUAGUCUUCGAUGACGGCAUCAGAUUUGAAGUAAAGAUUUAUCGGUAAUGGAUGGGGAUGCGUCUGAUUAGCUUGUUGGCGGGGUAACGGCCUGUCUCUUAUACACAUCUGACGCUGCC
rnacentral:rRNA from 1 species